rnacentral:rRNA from 1 species
UCGGAGACAGGUGCUGCAUGGCUGUCGUCAGCUCGUGUCGUGAGAUGUUGGGUUAAGUCCCGCAACGAGCGCAACCCUUGUCCUUAGUUGCCAUCAUUUAGUUGGGCACUCUAAGGAGACUGCCGGUGUUAAACCGGAGGAAGGUGGGGAUGACGUCAAGUCCUCAUGGCCCUUAUGUCCAGGGCUACACACGUGCUACAAUGGCCGGUACAAAGGGCAGCAAAGCCGCGAGGUGGAGCCAAUCCCAGAAAGCCGGUCUCAGUUCGGAUUGGAGUCUGCAACUCGACUGCGUGAAGUCGGAAUCGCUAGUAAUCGUGGAUCAGCAUGUCACGGUGAAUACGUUCCCGGGUCUU